UUGCCAUUUGGAGCUUACACAAGCUUGGAAAUUUAGCUGAUGCUAAUUCCUCCUUUGCAACAUAAUAGGCAGUGCGGAACAGUUUCUGGAGAACUUCAAAAUUUUCCGCAUUCAUCUUUGUAAUAGCCUUACACAUUGGUGUAUCUUUUGGGUUUUCCUUUGCCCGUUUGACUUGCACGCACAUUGAGUGUGACUUGGAUUUGUCAUGAGUUUGGAUAGACUUCUUUCAGAAACUUUCGCAUCCCAAGUAAAACGAACUUUGCGUGUUUGCUUUGUCUGGGCAGUCUUUACACACACGGCAGUACAUAAGUCCCAGUGCACUAUCAUGUCAUCAUAAUAAUUUUCAAGGUUAUAUUUUAUGUCGGGCUCUUCGCUUUACAUUAAUAUGCCAUUAUAUUGAGUCAAAUCUACAACAUCACAAUUAAAAUAAUUUAUGCUAAAAUAGGUUAGGCCUAUUGGGAAUUAACAAGGAAGGUUAUCACCAAAUUUAAUCCGCUACAGCGUUACAAAGAAAUGAGAAAAGAAAAAUGAAAAUAACUAAUAACUAAUGAUAUAAUUGUAAAAAAAAAAAUUAAAAAAAAUAAUCGUUUUAAAUAUACUAGUAAAGGUAAUUUUAUCUGUCUUGCCAUGAAUGAUAUCGCCUUCUGUGGGACGUUGCCUCAGCCUCACUGCGAAAGGCAAAGGCAGGGCAUAUGGAACACUUUCCAGCAACUGAUGGCAUUGACACAUCAAGUGUAUCCCACGAAUCUAAUUUGAGGAUUUCAUGAAUUGUAUGAAAACUAGAGAUAUCUUUUGCAUUGGUGAUAGAAGCCUUCCCCUAUUAAAACAGAAAUUUAUAAAUUCAUUGGCACGAAUUGGAUUUUCUGAACAGUGGGUACAAUAUGUGUCUUUGCAUUUUGUAAAUCUACGUGUUGUAACAUGAAUUGAACCUCAUCUUUAAAGGUACAGGUAAACCUUACCACUGUUUGCAGUCAUUACAUUGUACACCGCAUCGUAGUCGUUGUACGGUUGUUCUUCAAUUGGAACGCCUGCGAAUUCAACAUUUUGGAGGUAUGUUCCUAGUGUCUCCAUUGCUUGGUCGAAUACCUGUCCUUCUUUUUGAUGUUUUUCCUCCGGUGUCAGUUGUUGUUUCCAUGGUGGUACAGUAGAUUUUCCCCGUUCAAGAUAUCGGGAAGGGACACUGAUGACAGGCGGUUCGUACACGGAGGCCACGCAUGCUCUAUGGGGUUGCAUGCCGAUUGCCCUGGUGCGUCCAACAUACUGUCCUUGCGUGUUAAUCUUCUUGUUGGUUUUUUCCUACACACGUCUCAUUGCUGACACACGUGCGUAGUCCGCCAAGCCAUGGAGAAUAGUGGAACCAGUAAAACGCUACAUAUGUAUUUUAGAGCAGGUCAGAGGUUGCUUUUUAUAUUUUUAAUGUAAGAUUUUAUUGUACGAUUUUAUUAGUUAAAGUAAUACGGGGUCCAGACUUUUGUCAUGACAAGUUACUUUUGCUCUGUCCCAGUACAUUGUUGCUGCAACAUCAUGACACUGGGUGAUUUUAUGGUAACAACAGGAGUGAGGUUCUGAGGUUACCUAUGCUUCGCGCGAACUUAAAAUGAAUUAUUAGGCCAACGUUUAAGGAUCGUUCACACCAAGCACGAAUUCAGACUGUUAUGAUAAACGCGUGCACAAUGGAUUAUUUUUAUUACAGUGCGUAAAUUUGGUGCACUGGACCGAAUUCGUACUUGGUUUAUACGACGCUUUAAGAUGGAAACAAACAAAUAUUAGGCCUACCUAAUUUCACUUUGUUUUUGUUGUCAACAGAAAUUACAUUGCAGGCAUCAGGAAAACCUGCACAGAGUUGAACACAGUAUUUCACUCUAGCAUUAUAAAAAUGUGCGUUCACGUGGUCCUUCUUACGACUUAUCUUUGCGAGGUACAUUUGCAUCAAUAUAGCCUUUAUAUCGCUUCGAUACAAAUGUGUUGCGUAGUCGGUGUACAGGAAUUUCGACGUCUAUGAAUUAUGAAUUAUUAUUUUGCAAACUCAGUUGCAAAAGACCGUUCCACAGCUCAGCAAAUUGUAGAACAACUUAAAUUUGAUUUGAAUAACUGCAAGAAGAAUGCUUUCUCUCUGAACAGCUUCUCCGCUAUAUGGAAUGUUAUGUGAAGUCUGUUACCACGAUAUCUAGGUAAAAAACCUUUUUUAUAGCCUCCCUCUUCCAAAGCGUUUCUAAAGCCUCUUGGGUCACCCUUUCCCAUCUGCAUACCUCAUUUUACUGAUGUUGUAAACGAGUCGCUGGGCAAUGCAGCCAUGGCUAUACAAAUCCUUCUGCUGGUUGUUAGUUUCUUUUUCCAGUCCUGUCAAUAAUGAGCUACAGUCUUUGGCUAUGGUUUCUAGUGGGUGGAGAUGGCAAUUUAAUUCUGUAACUGUGGUGUUCCACUUUUGUUCUACUAAUGCUAUAGAUCGUUUGCAAGUGACGUCACAUAUUCCGUGUCGGCCAUUAGUGAGGCUAUGCAACACGACGCCACAAGAUGGCAACCGAUGGUAGAAUAGCGUUUUCGCAGUAUUACCAGGAACUUCCUACAGAUUGCAAAGCCAAAUAUUUAGAAAAGGCGUUAGAAUGUGGGAAUAUAGACCCAUUUAGUUAUUCUAUAAAGUUUCUAGAUGACAUUUUCUUGUGGCCAUCGGUCACAUAUCCCGAUAUAGUAAAUUAUUUGGUGUUUUCAACAAGCUUUGUCACAGGCCGUCAGAUGAAGGCAUACAAAUUCAUGGAGAGUUACAAUUAUUUCUUAUCCGGUUGGGUAAGAAAUAUUGGCGUUAUGAAGGUGGAGAGAGAAGGAAAAGUGUUAUAUGCAAGGGUAAGUCUGCACUGUAAUAACAAAAUGCCGUAUCAUAUUCGAUCCUAGACUUACUGUAGGGCCUAGGCCUAGAAAAUAGGCAAUAGGCUACUAACUACUAAGUACUAGGCCUAGCCUAGGCUAGCCCUAGGUCAACAUAAAUGGGCCACAGUGUGUCGUCACUGACAUUAGUCACUAUUGAGAAGUAGAGUAAGGGCUGGUAAAUAUUUUUGUUUUGCCAAUUCGUAAUUCAUAUUAUUUUAGGCCAAUAAUUGCUUUUCUUUGAAUAGAAGGUAACCACUCCCAGAGGAUGAAUGAAACUCCAUUAAAAACCUGGGUUCUCCUUGAGGCUAAUAGUGAAGUAGUGACUGGUCACUGUGACUGUAUGGCAGGAUUAAGUGAGGUUUGCAGCCACAUUGGAGCAGUGCUGUUUGCAGUUGAAGCAGGAACCCGGAUGAGGGACCAGCAAACCUGUACAGAAAAAAGCUGCCAGUGGGUUUUGCCCACUAGUUUAAAGCAGGUACCAUAUGUUGAGGUACGUCAAAAAGACUUCACAUCUGCCAAAAAAAAAAAAAAAAUUCUUGAUAACUUAACAUCACCAACUGCACUAAGACGUUUGAAUGCCCACACUCAGGUGCUGGACUGCAGGCCAACAGAAGAAGAAAAAUUAAAUUUAAUGAGACAGGUAAGCGAAAGUGGAAACAAAUCUGCAAUCCUUUCAAUACUGCCUGGGUUUUGUGAGGAGUUUGUGCCAGCACAAAAGUUGCCUUUCAAUUUAACAUCAUUGUUUGACAUUGAGGCCCUUGAGCUCCAGUUCAACGAUCUUCUGUUGAAAUUGUAGAGAGAUUGAAACGUCUAUAAUACUUACUGAGGAAAUGGUACAUAAUGUGGAAAAACAAACCAAGGAGCAAGCAAAUUCAAAGGAAUGGUUUAAGUACAGAUCUGGUCGGAUAACCGCAUCCAGAAUGAAGGCAGUAUGCCAUACAGAUGUGGCUAAACCAUCGGUUAGCCUCAUUAAUGCUAUUUGCUACCCAGACAAGUUGCAGUUUUCAAAUGCAGCCACCAAAUGGGGAUGCAACCAUGAAAAGACAGCGCAGAUGCUAUAUUUCGAGAUCCAGAAAUGUAACCAUGAAGACUUGGUGGAGAUAGUGGACUCUGUUUGAAUGUGGACUAUGCAUAUAUGGGUGCCUCUCCUGAUGGGGUUGUCAAUUGUAAAUGUUGUGGAAGUGGAGUCUGUGAAAUCAAGUGCCCUUUUUGCUUUAAAGAUGAAACAAUUGAAGACACUGCUGCCAGUAAAAAAUCAUGUCUUCAACAGACUGAGAAUGAGAUCCAGCUGGACAGGAAACAUGCGUAUUAUUAUCAGGUCCAGUGUCAAAUUCUGAUCUGUAAAGUGAAAUAUUGUGAUUUUGUGUUGUAUACAAGGAGGGAAUACAAUUGAAAGGAUUUAUCCUGAUGCAGAAUUCUUACAACAAAUGAUAGGCAAAGCAAAGCAUUUCUUCCAAGUUGCUGUUCUCCCUCAACUGAUAGGCAACUGGAAUAGGUAUUGAGAGUACCUGUACGGGAUGAGAAUGUGCAUCUAUUUUGUUAUUGCAAGCAGGAAGACAAUGGUAUGUUGACAGUUAGCUGCAAGAACAGCGAAUGUGCAUGGCAACGUUUCCACCUGGACUGCCUAGGACUUAAAAGGGUCCAAAAUCUGUAAACUGGCUGUGCCCAACAUGCCGUAAAAUCCCUCAUCUGAAGAACCAGAAAAGAACAGUGCGCAAGACAGCGGUACUCAAAGAAGCUAAUGUUUAGUGCCUUUUUACAAGUGUACACAAAGACAUACUGACGGCUGCCAUAUUCAGUUAAAAUGUGCAUUACUGUAAAUGAGUAGGCCGACUAGCAAAAUACAUUUUACUGAAUUUAUAAAUUCCAUGUAUCAUUAAAGAUGGAAAAAUUUAUUUUUAUUAUUAUACUUGUAUGGUUUUCACUAUGUUUUAGGUUUGUGCAAUUUUUUAUCAUUUUAAAUUGGACAUACUAUUCAGUUAAGUGCAACGGACUAACAGAAUUUAAUUUAUUAACUCGUACUUUUAUGGUUUUCAAUAUUUAAUAUAUUUUUGCAAUUUUUCAUCAGGUGCUUUUCUCCCCAUUGUCAUUUUAAAGUGGACAGUUGCAGUUAGUAAUAAUAUGAGCAACGCUGUGUUUAAGACUAUAGAAUGUUUUUCUUUGUUAUUUAGCAGAAACUCAUCCCAUACUUGUAGGGUUUUCAAUAUGUAAUAAGUUUGCAAUUGUUGAUCAGGUGCUAAUUUCCUUAUUUGUGGCAAAAGCCAGCCAAACCAGUCACUCGUCGGAAAAAUAGAUUUUUAGUUAUUAAUAGAGUGUCAAACAGCAAAUUUAGAGUUAUAAAAUGGUAAAAAAUUAUUUCGUUAUCCCCUAACAUGGUUUGCAACAAGUGACUAGUUUGGCUUGUCUUUGCCACAAUUACAUACUUAAGGUGAUCUUACUAUGCACACUCAAGGAAGUGCUUUUGCUGUUAUCAGUUAACCCUUAAAAUACCAAAUUUCCCAGUGUGUACUACCACAGGAAACUGUAUUAUAUUUAGUACUAUCACUUGUUAUUACUGGUUUUGAAGGCUACUCUCUUCACAUGUGUUUUUUGACGGUUUCUGUAAAAUUUAUGAAAGAACAUUUCUAAAAACAUAUGUUCCUUAUACAUUUAGCUAUCUUUUGAUAUAUGAUUUGUAAAUUUUGGAGUUCAUUUUGUAUAUGAAAAGUAUAUAUAAAAAAUAUAAAGCUUGUAAAAUAAGUUUUUUAUAUCAAUUCUAUGUAUAAU
rnacentral:lncRNA from 1 species